UACAGAGGUCUCAAGCGUUGUUCGGAUUCAUUGGGCGUAAAGGGUGCGUAGGCGGCGCGGUAAGUCGGGUGUGAAAUCUCGGGGCUUAACUCCGAAACUGCAUUCGAUACUGCCGUGCUUGAGGACUGGAGAGGAGACUGGAAUUUACGGUGUAGCGGUGAAAUGCGUAGAUAUCGUAAGGAAGACCAGUGGCGAAGGCGGGGUCUU
rnacentral:rRNA from 1 species